UAAAACUUUCCUUUCCCAACUUGGGCUUCAGGUAUUUUGUCUCAGCAAUGAAUAUAAAGUAACUAUGACAGCUUGUGUCUGUUAACUUGGUAAUGGUAACUGGGUAAGUGGAACAGCUGUGCACGCUCAACCAGGUAAAGCCGCACCUCCUUGUACAAACUAGGGUUCAGAAAGCACAGAGCACACCAAGGUAGGCAAGGAAGGUUCAUCAGCGCUUAGCUGUGUUCUGUCGGAGAUCUUUUAAGAGUCCUUCAUCCAGAGUACACUGUCUGGUCUUUUGUUGAUUCUGCCCACUUGAUGCUUUGAGAGGUAUUUUUUUUCAGCCCGGCCAAGGUAUACAAUUGAACACCAUGAGCCACUGGCCCAGAUCCAGGUUCCUACUCUCACAAAACUUCAGUUUAAUCUUCUAAUUCUAAUCUGCUUCUUUUGACACAAACCAAGAACUUUCACCAUGGCGUGGCCAGAACCCUCUGACCCUCACCUAGAACUGAUAUGUUUUCUUUUCUUUCUUUUCUUUUUCUAGUGUUGUCUCCUAUGGUAUGUUCCUUUUAGAGCAGUCAUUCUUUGUUCUCAGAGAGUCCUGCCUGCCUUGAUGAUUUAGAAAACUACUUCUUCAAUCAAAUCUAAUUAUAACAUUUUACACAGAAUAUAUUAUGCCGUUUCCAUCCAGAUCAUACACUUCCAACCACAUCCUAGGGAAAGAGGGGGCUGCUUUUGCCUUAGUGCAUGAUAUGAAUAAUACACAGAAAGCUAUCAUCCAGUUUCCCAUGAGAGAUGUAAGAUUGGUAACUAUAACACACUGGUCUCAAAUUGUAUGCAGUUUAGUAGUGGACAAAAGUACUUGCUUGUGUUUUCUCAGGAAUCGGUAAGUGGCAAGGAAAAGAUUUCUGACUAAGGAGUGGCUUGGGGUUUACAUGUGUCUUGUGCAGUUGUUGAGACAUUUAAUUCUGCUUUUGUGUCUUUAACCUUGUUUUUAAUGUGCUUCCAUUUAUAUUUCAUUCAUUACUACACCUUCCCAGAGGAAAAAGUAAACCAGGUUGGCCUGUACUCACUAACAGUAUAACCUUAGAAAUAAUGCAGUGAUUUGUGUAAACUUCCUCAAGCUUCAUUUUUGUUUGAUUUUUGGCAUCUAAUGAUGUUGACUUUGGUACAAUUUUCAUUUGUCUCAUUCCUAUUUAGCAGAUCCCCUGGAAUGGGGAAUAAUUUUUGAAAUAUUUGAAUUCUUAACCAAAAUUCCAGGAAACCCUCUUACCUUGGUUGGGUCUGGAGUGGCCCCUGAAGCCUGUAGGUUAAAUGUUUGGUUGCCAGCCUGUGGUCCUGGUGGGGAGGGGUGGAAAGUUCCAGAGCUGAGGUCAGGCAGAACCAAGUUAGGCCAUUGCUGUGCUCUUAAAGGGACAUUUUGAACCCUGCCCUCACCCCUCUUUUCCUUUCCUGACUUCCAUGAGAUGAGCAGACUCAUCCCACUGCACACACUCUCCAACAUGCUGCUACCUCCCUACGGACCUCAAAACAACAGAGCUGACUGACCAAGGACAGAACCCUCUGAAAACAUAAGCCGCCAAGCCUUCCUCCGUAUAAAUUGUUCAUCUUAGAUAUUUUCUCACAGCAAAAGAAAGCUAACAUACCUGUGGCUUGUGGAGAAUGUAUAGAAUUUAAAAGAAAAAGAACUUAGUGGAAAAUUCCUAAUUCUUUAAGAUUCUUUCAAUUUAAGGAAACUGUACCAGGAAGAUGCUGACCCAAUGCUCACGCUCUGUUCUAUUGGUUCCCAAAGAGUAAAUGCUGAUUUUGGGAAAAGGAGAAAUUUGUGCCCUCUUAGAAUUAAUUUUCAAACUCUCUGUUUUGUUUCCUUUCUCUGGUUUGACCUCUUUGUACCACAUGCAUUGCAAACUUCUUUCCCCAUAUAGUAAUGUAGAAUAAGAACUGUACCCAUUUUAAAAAAGCUUUGAGAAGGAUAUUCAAACUCACAGGUAGAGGAAAAAAUGGCAAUGUAAAUAAUAAUAAACUACCUACAGGUAUUUGCAAAAAUCUUUUAAAAGUUGAAUAUUAUCUAACAUUGGCAAUACUUUAAGAAAAUGAUUAAACUCGCUUCGCUAGUAACUCUGAAAUUUAUAGCGUUCUGCAUUCUUUUGCAAUAAGUAUUCUGAAUCAUAAAGAUAUCCACCCCUUUGGAUAUGGGAGGCAUUAAUUAAAGGAUACAAGGUUCUAGUUAGGCAGGAGGAAUAAAUUUUCAACUUUGUUGCAUGGUGUGGUGAUGAUAGUUAGCAAUAAUGUAUUGUCUACUUCAAACUUGCCCAAAGAAUGUUUGUAAAAUGCUCUCAUUAUUUAAAACCUGACAACUAUUGGAUGUGACAGAUAUGUUAAUUAGCUUGACAUAAUCAUUCCACAAUGUAUGCGUAUAUCAAAGUAGUCCAUUGUAUUCCAUAAAUACAUGUAAUCAUUAUUUGCUAAUUAAAAUAAAAAUUUGAUUAUAGCAACAAACUGAAGUUAGCUUAUAUGUCCACUAGUACUAAAAUGGUUCAGGAAUAGAGAUGUGUAACAUCUUACAAUGGUAAAAAAGAUUUUGAAUGUAUAUGUAGUAAAUAGUUAUAAUAAGCGAAAAAGUGCAAAAUGAUAGUAGCAGGGUCAGUUACUGUAUCACAGGAACUAGGCAGAUAAAAAGAGUAAAAAUGAAAUUGAACAUGUAGAUCAAAUUUAGAAGUCACAUUUAAAACUUUUUGUACAAUGUGCUUAUGAGUGAUACGCUUCUUUGUAAAAUUAAUUUUCAUGCUGUAAUUAUAAAGUAAAUCAUUUUAAAAGAUCUGUAUCUAUUUUCCUUACAAAAUAGGAUUAAUGCCUCCCUAUGUCUGGUAGAUUCAGCUUCAUAGCUGAAAGUUAUAUUAUCUUUUGUUGAAUAAUUUAGUUGUUGAAUGAGUUUGGAUCUUUUAUUCAUGCUGUUCUCAAUAAUUUAGACUCUCAGAGUUGGAGUCUAAGAGGUGGUUUACUGCAAAUUCCCAUCCGUGUUGCAGUCUGUUCUGUGUCAUUUCUGACUUGUGGUCACCCUUCCACUGCCAGAAUGCUCCCAGCUAGGGAAUCUCCUGACUUCAGGAUACUACCUUUCAGCUCUGGCGGAUACUAAUUUGUUAGAAAGUUCCUUCAUCUGAGUUGAAUCUGUAUUCGUGUCUUCUCUGUCUACGAGUCUUAAUUUAUUCCUGAAGUACAAGAUAACAAAUUCAGCCCCCAACAGUUCUUUGAAAGUGCUUUUUUUAAAUUUUAAAAAGAAUAAAAUGAAGGAAAAUAAAACAGAAUAAAACCAAAAUAAACCAGUAUAAGUGAUACAGAACUUCAAAACUGAUAGGUUCUGCUAGCCUGGGGCUAUGUAACAUAACAUACUUGGUACUGGACCCAGAGAAACAACUUCUCUCUCCAAGAGUUACUUCUAAGUUGUCCUUCUCAGUCCAGAGAUAAGCCUCCCGCUCGCUUUUGCAUGUGUGCUGAGCCCUCUCCAAUCCCAAGACCCCACAACCACCUGAGCCUCCAUCCCCAGGCUCCCGUAAAUUUUUGUGUCUCCUGUUUUACACAGGUGGGUGCUUCUUCAAAUCAGAGUUGAUAUGUCAUUUUGCUCACCUCCCAAACUCCUCCCCAAGCCAGAACUGAUGAAAAUAGUCCCACUUCUUCAUUCUAGCUGAGGGCCACUGCACUUGUAAAGCUCUCCCAUGUCUUCAUUAAAGGCCUCUUCCUACUUUGUCUCCUUUUUAUCUCUCCUGCCUGCUUCAGAUUAUUAAGCGCCAAAAAUAAUCAAAACCCUUACAAACGCAACAAGAGUUACCAUAAUGCCUUUUUUUGUCUUCAAAAUAACUGCAGAUACCUUUGGAGAUAGUAAAAAUCGAACAGAACAGAAACAAUAAAAAAAAAAACCAAUGAAUGCAAUAAAGGACUUCAAAAGAAGCCAAUAGUAAAUCCAAAAUGGCUACCAUAAUAUAUCUUGCUAUCUUUUUAAAUAGCAACCCAACCCAGCAUAACAUUGAAAAUGAUAUGAUUUCUAGGUAAGGAUCUCUUCCUGGUGAGGCCUGGUUCUCUCCCUUUGCAGUCUGCAAAUGGUGCUGACUCACGGAGAGAGGCUUGGGUGUGGCUGUCCCCACUCCAGCACUGACCCCCACAUGGCGCUCAAGAGUGAUUUUUAAAAGUGAUUUUUAUUGUCUUAGACUUUGUCUUUUGUUGUUUAAGGAAAGAUGUUGGAUUUUUGACAUUGUUAUGUGUUCAUUCUUUUUUUUAAGCAAAACAUAUUUAUUACAGUUAGGCAGUAAGAUGUACCUAUUUCUUGGAUUAACACUAUCCCAUCCAAUUUUUUUGCCCAUCCAAUUAUUUUAUUUUGAAAGAGUUCACACCUUCAGAAAAGCCUGGGAUUUCAAUGAAGAUUAUUCCUGAGUCCAGAAAUGAAGAAUGUGACAUUUGUUAAAAAUUUCAAUGCAUCUCUCCUGUGAUUGUUCGAAGAUUGGCAAAGAAUAGGAGUCAGGCCAGUUAGGGCACAAGCACCUAUCUGGCAAUGCAAGGUCUUUCUGGCACCAAAAUAAAUAAAUAAAAAUUGCAAAAUCAGAGUCUUUGUAAGACUGAUGUGUGGUGAAAAUAAACCCAGAACUUCAGGAGGACCAUUUCACAAAGCCUGAGAAUGAAGUCGACCCAGCUGAAUGUGUGAUGGAGGGAUGAACAUUUUUAGCCCACUACUCCAUAGGCGGGAGCUUCCCUUGCAUGCUUUCUUCAGGGAUGUUAGCUGAUCUGCAACACAGUGCCGCCCGUCCUUUUUUCCUUCAUCCACCACAUCAGACUGGCUUUCAUCACUUAUUAAAGGAGUCAGAAUGAUCCAGGCUAUAUGCUGGGAUUUGAUAGAAAUUAAUAUUUCUAUUACUUUCAGGAUGCAGAAGUUUGGGGCAGUUCAUUUAAAAUUUCUGCUUCUGACAUUCAUCUUCAGUGAAAUGAGCGGGUUGAACUAGACAAUUGAAAAACCUCUUCCUGCUUCAAAAGUCUGUAUGACUUUGCUUCUAAAUCUAACUGAGCACCUCAGCAGUUGUCCUCUGCAUUUUUUCCUAUUAGUCAAGUUGUUCUUAUUGGAGUUUAUUCUUACAAGUUAAAAAAUAGGGGGCUGGGGAUUUAGCUCAGUGGCAUAAGCGCCUGCCUUGCAAGCAGGCAGUCCUGAGUUUGAUCCCUGGUACCAAUAAAAACGAAAAAGACCAAAAAAAAAAAAAGUUAAAAAAUAGAAGGAAUAUUCUCAAGAUGCAUCUUCCUUUGUCAGUCAUUAUUAAAUCACCUAAGUUUAUUUUCUCCAUCCUUCUCACUACAGAAAAGAAAAUCUUUUAAAAUGUUUUGCUGUGCAUAUAAGCUGACCUAUUAAAAUUCUAACACAUCUAUAAUUUUAAAACUUUAUAAUGAAGUACCCUAUUUUACCAGGUGAAAGUAGGCUGAUCACUUUUUUGCUUCCAGUUUUUUAUUUUGAAAAGAGUUCACACAUUCAGAAAAGUUGCAGUAGAAUAAUGAACAUCCAUAGAGCUUCAUCGGGGUUGUCUAGUUAACACUGCACUGCAUUUGCACUCCUGUAUGUCCUUCCUGAACAAGUGUGUCACUCUCUGUGUGUUUUAAAAAUAGCAUCUAAGUGGAGGACUCCUGAGCACUUAGAGGUCUUGGGGAGUGGGUGAGGCCCAGGUAGGGUCUUGAUCUGCCCUAAUCCCAAUCCUGACUCUAAUUCUCAGAUUUUAUACCUGAAAAAUACAGAGCAUUAUUGGCACCUAAAUUCAUACUCAAAAAUAUUAGCUAAUAUCAAUAUUUUGUGAGUGGAACUGAUAAUGCAAAGUUUUCAUUUUUCAUUGCAUAAGGAAAAGCUUAGUUACAUCUCAGUUCGUCAGAUGAGCUCAGAUCUUAAGUUUCCUUGUGUAGAAAUAAAUUAGAGGUUGGCUUAAAGGGAAAUGAACAGUACUGAAAUGGAAAUGAAGAAUAUGCAUGUCUUGCUGGGUGUCUUAGUUACUUUUUACUCAUUGCUGAGACAAAAUCCCUGAAGCCCAAAGUUGGGAAAGUAAAAGUUUAGUUCUUACAGUUUUUGGAGGUUUCAGUCCAUACUCAGUUGCUUCCAAGGCAUGGCUGGGCAUGGCAGCUGCAAACAGCAAGGCAGAAACCCACAAGAGAGUGAACAGAGAAACAACUUCUAACACACCUUCUUCCUGACAUUACAUUACAUCUUGGCUCCACCCCUAUGUGGGUGUAGCACUCACAUCCCCAAUCCAAGCACUAGACAAGGAACCAAUCACAAAUGCACAAUGCAAAUACAUGAGGCCUGGGGGCCACCAACAUAAACCAUGACUUUCCACCCCUGGCCCCCAGGAUUCAUGUACGUCCUUUAUACAAAAAAAAUUUAGUCCAUCUCCAAGAGUUGCCAAAGUCCUAACAGUUUCAGCAUUGCUAAAAAGUCCAAGUCCCAAGUCUCCAAGAUCUACGGCAAACUCUUAACUGUAACCCACUGUACAAAUGAAACAAGGUUAAAACAUUUCUGAAAUGCAAAGGCACAAGAUAAACAUUACCAUUCCAAAAGUUACAAACAGGGGAAUAUAAAUUAUUGGAAACAAAGCAAGUCCAACAUCCAGCAGGGUAAACAUUAAGUCCUAGACUUUCAUGCUCAGCAUUUGAAGCAAUCUGGUUGCAAGCUCCAAAAGGCUUGGGUGAUUCCACCCCCAUGACACUUCCAGGAAUAUCAGCUCCUGAAGCUUCUCUCUUAAACCCUCUCUGCUCACUUUUUGAAGCUUUCCUUGAUGAUUCCUGGCUUUUCCAAACUUCUGGGGUCUCCAUUGCACCUUUGGCUUCACCCUUACAUCUUUACAAAUUGCCCUCUCAGGGGUACACUGCUUGGCCUCCCAGGCCCUUCAUAAUCAAGGUGGAAGCCGUCUUACCCUUAGAACCCGUGCAUUUUCCUUGUACCUAAAAUCAGCACCUUGUGGAUGCUGCCAAGGUUUGCUGCCAGCUGAAGCAGUAGUCAAGCUUUUCUCUCUCUUGGCUGUAGGGGUUGAUUGCCUGGAUCAUUGGGCUCUGUGAACCUGACUGUGAAGAAAAGCUUCUCUAUGUUGCCACCAUCUGGAACCUCAUGUGGCCUCAGUCACCAUUCUGGAACAUGGUGCUCUGCAGCUUUCUCCUCUGAGCAAAUUCUUUCACCUUUUCAGUUUUGGGGCUGCAAAGGGUGGAGAUCUGCUGCUUCCUGGGAUGUCCUGGGGCCAUCUUUCUUAUCUCUCUGUUUCUCCUCAGCAAUCAAAGUCUUAACCCUGUCUUUACAAUCCACAGCUUUCCUGGAAUUUUCCUUCUGGUCAGAUUCAAAGAGUUGUAAGUUAUCCUGCUGGACUCUUUGCUCUUGAUUUGCAACAUAAAGCUGGCUAAAAGCCCCAACAAUAGCCAUGCCACAGCCUCAAAAUUCAACUGCUUUGAAAUUUCUUUUUCCAGAUUAAUCAGCCCAUUGCCAUUUGUCUUAGUCUCAGGCACAGUCUCUGGGCAUGAGCAAAAUGCAGACAAACUUACUGCCAAGCCAUAACACACAUUAUGGAGUAGUUCUUCCCAGCAGAAACCUCCCAAGCCUGGUCUUUACCCUGAGGCUUUCUAUCAGUUUUCUGGUCUCCUGAGCUCUGACCAGAAUCUCCUCUUCAGAACAGCGUAAGCUGCUCCAGCUCUAUGCAUCCAGGCGACAUGUCCAAACCGUUCCAAACUCUGCCACAAGCCAUUUCUAAAGCCUUUUGGAAAGGAUGGUCAGGUAUAGUCACAGCAAAUGACUCCACUCCUCAGUACCAAAUUCUAUCUUAGUUACUUUUUCUCGUUGCUGAGACAAAAUACCGGAAGCCCAAAGUUGAGAAAGGAAAGGUUUAUUUCUUACAGUUUUUGGAGGUUUCAAUCCAUACUCAGUUGACUCCAAGACAGGGUGGUCUGGCUGGGCCGCAGUUCAUGGCAGCUGCAAACAGCAAGGCAGAAACCCACAAGAGAGCAAGACACACCUUCUUCCUGCCAUUACAUUAUAUUACAUCCUGGCUCCAUGCCUAGGCCAGUGUAGCACUCACACCCCCAAUCCAAGUGCUAGACAAUGAACCAAUCACAAAUGCACAAUGCAAAUGCAUGAGGUCUGGGGGCCACAAACAUAAACCGUGACACUGGGCAAGAAGUCAAACUCCAAAUAGCAUCUGCCCAUGCAGUGCUAGUGGACGUAAGCCGAGAUCCAGGCAGCAGAUGGGUUUCAUCUCAUGUGCCAAUGCCUGGUAGCAGCUCCCUCUGGUCUAAAGACCCCAGAGAGCUUACCGGGACAGGAUAGCCGUGGUAUCACAGUAGGUCACUGUGUGAUGGCCUGGCCGCUAUGGUCCGAUAAUUCCCCAUUUCAUGGAUUGAUGGGUUCAUGUGUUCACAUGCUGCAAUGUAGUGGCAGUGACAGUGUUAGAAGGAAGACCUAAGGAGGGGGCGAGUAUUGAGAGCUGAUCACUCAGGAAUGGGAUUAGAGACCUAGUGAAAGGGCUUGGAGGAGUGAACUGACUCUCACACUGUCCUGCCAUGCGAGGACACUGUAUUUUUCUUCUUUUGCCCUCCCAGCUCCUCUGUAGUGUGGGGACAAAGGGUCAGGGUACCAUCUUGGAAGCUGAGCCCAGGCCUCUCCAGACUAUGAAGCACUGCACCUUGGGCAUCAAUUCCUGGCCUGCAGGGCUGUGGGAAAUACAUUUCCAUUAUUUUAUAAUUAUGUAAUCCCAGGCAUUUGGUUAUGGCAGGACAAAAGAACCAAGGUGCAUGCCCUUGCCAGUUCUGCUUUACGUAUGAAAGACAAAGGGUUGGUUUCAGGCACUUGACAACUAGUUGAUAAAUGCUGUCAAGGCUAACAGGAGUAAAAAAAAUCUGGGUUGAAGCCAAGAUUCCUCCAGCCCAUUGGUAAACUAGCAAGGUGUGUGCACAUCCAUUCUAGUGCUGACCACAUCAAAUGACUCAUGUUCUUCUCCCUCAGUUAGGCCACAAGUUUCUGGACAGAAAAUUUACCAUUAUCACUGUGUUUUAUGAAAUGCCAGGUGUGUAGUAGGUACAUAAUCCAUGUUGGAGCUGACCCAGCUAUAUCCUAGUUUUGAUGAGGAUUGGGCGGAAAGUCUACCUUGUGAAACCUGCCCCAUUUCUAUGCUUAUUUAAAGCCUCUUGCUCUGAUAAAUGUCUUCAUAAAAAUGGCUUUGACAAAUAUUUUAUCAAGUACAAUGUUUGGACAAUAUUGUAUCAAGGAAACUAAGAGCAGAAUAAUGGUGGUCAAAUUUUUGUUGUUGUUUUUGCUUUUUGAGACAGGGUUUCACUAUUAGUUCAGGCUGGCCUCAAACUCUGAGAUCCUUCUGAUUAUAAGUGUGUACCACCAUGCAAACCUGGUGUUUUAAUCCAUACAGAGAAGAAACAGUUUGCCCAUGAUGCUGAGCUAUUUUUCACAGUUAUUGUAGGAUAGAGUUUAGGUAAGGAAUAAAGAGGCAUAAAAACCUCAGAGACAAAUUUUAGGCCAUUUGUGACUGUUAAUCAACUUUGCUUCUGAAACCAAUUAGAUAGCUAUGAAGUAAUUAAAAUACAAAAUCAAAAUUCUUUAAUUGCUUGUCUUCUUAAAUAAUUAAAUGAUAAGCAGUCCUUGACUCUCAAUUUCUGAAAUUUUGUUCAAAUUGUAAUUUCCACAUUCAUUGACUUUCCUGAAUAAAAUGUGGACUAUUGUGUUUAGCAGCUAGAGAAUGAUUGCUUUUAGUAAACAGACGAAAGGGACCAAUAGCUUACUUUAGCUCAAUUACUUUCUUUUUCUGAAUAAUAGCAACAAUCUACUAUUUAAUUGAAUUUUAUUAUGAAUGUUCACAGAUACAAAAGGCAAUGUACUAGAAAAAAUGUGUUUUUGAUAAUUUUGUUAUAAAUUUUUGUACAUACAAAAGGCAAUGUGGUAGAAAAAUAAAUAUUAGGAUCUGAAUAGGAGCCACAGAUCUUAUAGACUCAUCACAGUUGAGCAAAGGUCAAGAUCAUUAGGAAUAUUUCUAAGGCACAGUUUGUCAUCAGCAAUAUGCUAUUCAAACUUGCUUAUCUGUAUGGUUUAGUUAUCAGGGAAUGUAAUAAGACUGCAGAGUAGACAUAGGUCUCCAAAUUAUACCUAUAGUGUUUCCUAAGUGAUUUCAUAAUAGUACAUGUGCUAAAAUAUUUUCUCAAUGCUGAAAGCAAUUAACAAUUUUACAUUGUGUAUUAUAUGUUUAGACUUAUAUUUUAAAAGCCUUAAUGCAGAUGGUUUUAAGUAUAUCAUGUAAAAAUGCAGUGCAGUUUUUAGGUUGUCUUGAAAACUCUUUCAAGCAGAGCCAGUGCCCUCACAAUUGUAGCUGUUUCAUAUUCAAAGCUGUGGUGCAGUUAGAGCUUUCCUCAGCUAUUGGUCUCCCGGAGUGAAUGUUUUCAAUGUGCACCUGCAAAAGGUGACUGUACUCUUUCCCCUACACAAAUCAGGAAGUAUCUCAUCCUUUGGGAUAAUAAUGAGAGGUAUCUAAUAUGAAACCUGGGAAGUAGCUAGGCAUGGUGGCACACCCUUGUAAUCCCAGCCUCCCAAGAGGUUGAGGCAGGAGGAUUGCUGUGAGGCUGAGGGCUGCCUGGGUUAUGUAAUCGAAUUUAAGGCCAACCUGAACUAUGUAGUGAGACCCUAUCUCAAAAACCCAACCAAAACGAGACAAAAGAAAUCUAGGAAAUAUGUUAUUAUUGGAUAGUUCAGGUUGGAAGGCCAAGCAAGUUCAAAGUGGGCAGUGCUGAGUAAAUGUGUGGUCUUCAGCUGUGAAUUUCAACCUAGCCUCUGCAAUCAGUCUGGGCGCUAACUUCAAGUCUGUCAUUUCUAGCCCUAGAGCCUCAGUCAUGUUUCUAAAUUCUGUAUUCUUGUUGGAGAAUGGAUCUAAGGCACCUACUUCAUGGCGGUAAUUACAGGAGAAAAGACAUGAUGCACUCAGAGUAGUUAAGUUGAUACCUUAAGAUGAUGUACUAAUUAUUAACAUUGUAGAUCAAAAUCUUCAUUAUGAGCUAUGAGAUACUUUCUAAUUAAUCAAAUUUAUUUGCCUUUUACAAAUACACUAUGAUUGUAACAGUCCUUUACUUUUUGUAAGCAGAAAUCAGUAUUUUAAAAAUGUGUGCUUGUGUUAUUCUAGCACCUACUGCCUUUGCUCUCAUUUUGCAUACCUUAAGCAUUGUUUUAUUAGUGAAAAUUUGCAACAUGGAAUCCCGAUGUUCAUUGCGGGGAACUGGUACACGUCCGUAACUGUAGGGAGCCAACCUGUGAGCUUGUACCUGACCAACGGGCGACGAAGAUAAAACAGAAAGAGACACAGAAUGGGUUAAAAUGUGGGGGCCAGGGUGUCAUCUCCCUGUGACAAAGAGCCCUGAGUGACUGGCGCACCCUGGCCUUAUUCACUCAGACACGGGCACAGGCAGUCAGAGUGGCACAGGCUCGGUCUGUCCACUACCCAUGGUGUGUGUCCAGGUGACUGAAGGGUCUCAGCUGCACUUCCCCAUCUCCAGCAUUCUUCCUUCUGUCCCAUAAAAAGCUAGCGUUCACCAUCAUAAAGAGCAGUGAUCAAAUUUAAGACAUUUUCUGCUUCUCAGAAUUCAGAAUCAAGUCAGAUUCCAUGGGGCUCAGUUUCUUUCCCAUAAGGCCAUGGUAGAAUAGAUGCUCCUUAAGCUCUCUUCAAGCUUUGAUCAUCCUAUAACUACACACUGAACAUGAAGAUUCUUACCAGAAGUAUUUCUACAUAAAAAAGGUUUCUGUACAUUUUCUUUGUGUAGACCAUAGUCCUGUCAUCUGUGUGUAAUUAUAACUACUGCCCUUUUAGCUCACAAGGGUCUCACUUUGGGUGAAACACCAUGUGCUCUUCCUGUUUAAUUGUGUUUAUAUAAGCAAAGAGCAGAAGCCAUCUGGUAAACUGUGGCCCGGGGAGAUCCUAAAAUAGACCACAUUUUUUUCUUGUUCUAAAGUUGGGGAAUAAUUGGAAUCACUGGACAGUGGCUCAGCACUCGCUUCAUUUUCUUUCUGUGGUUUGCUAGAAGGAGAGUUACAAGUGGUCAGCUUGGUGAUAGAAAGAUCUACUAACCUGACGGAAUUGCCACACGGCUGUGUGUGUGCUGGGAAGUGUGUCCCAUUUUCUGUCACAUGCUCCAAGGUGGCAGAGCACCAGGGAGCCUCAGAAUCAGUGUGCCCUUCACAAGUUCCUGGUCCCUGCUGUCCUGUUGUGCUCUUCACGAUCAACUCUGGAAGAAAUUCACUCCAAGCAGCACUCUUAUGAUUAGCAUGCUUCUAUGAAGCUAAAGUUGUUCAGUGAACAUUUUUCAUCGAACCACAUGAGAUGUUGACAAAGUCUCUGGAGCGGGGAAGGUGCCUGAGAGGACAGCCCAUUUCUAGGGUUGGAGAAGGAUUCCGAUAUUUAAAGCCAGGGUAAUGGGCUUCUUGCCAAUUUUUGACCUGAGGAAAUGACUAUUUCUUAUUUUUUAACUUAAUGAUCUCACAAAUAAAUUUAACUCAUAUUGAGACCUUGCUCCAUCAUACAGGAGGCUGUUGGAAUAUUUUUCCCUCCUCAUUUUAGAUGAAUUUGGAGACCGGCGAACCAGAUAGUUAGCUGACUAAUGAAUUGCACAGAGUCACUGAGGCAUUCAGCAGCACAGUGGGUGCACAGUGGGACAGCAGGACCCACAGUUUGAAUAGCGGUGUCUGUCUUGGAGAGCAGGUGGGUGGACAGGGAAGACCUCAGCUCCAUUUGCUCAGGCGCUUUUCUUCCUGAUUAUCUUCUCUUCCUGCUCUUAAAUGAUUUCUUUUUUUUCAAGAGGGAAGGGAGAAAAGAUUUCUCAAAGCUACCAGCAGAAAAGUGUGUGCCGUCAGAGUGCAGAGCAUCCAGGUCCUGAGACAGGGUGCAAACAGCCUCUGCGCCCUGCACGCAGCUGGGCUUCUGCUGCGUCCUCCAGGGCAGGCUGAGCGGCUAAAGGAUGUUUGCUUUGCUUGCUGUUGUUUCCUUAAAGAAAAAUGCAGCGAAUUUUUGAAGUGAUAACUGUUAGAGAAAAAAAAACAGGUAGUUGCUCAAUUUUAAAUAACUGCCUAACUAGGGGGCAGAGUCCCAGGAGAGGGUUGACGGGAAAUAGCAUGUGCUUUCUUUAGUUGCCUGUAUUUUAACUUUAGACAAGAAAAAUGAAAUGUAUGUGCCCAAGUAUGUGCAAGUAUGUCUAGACCUAGAAGGCCUACCUUGAUAGGUGGGUAGACUUCUUUAAAACAAUGUAUAAAAACUCUAAUAUAAUAAUAGUUUAUAUACAUGGGCAGUUAGAAUUAUACAUUUUAAUCUAAUGAUAAGGGGACAGAGGCUUUCUCAGAAGAAAAAGCACAUAAUGAAUAUAACUCAACUCAUACUUAGUAUUUUUGGUCCCAGAGUAAUUCUUAUUUAUGUUUAUUUAAAUGUCUUUGAAAUUUUUAUUCCAAAGCUAGUUUUCUGGGAUAAAUGAUAGAUGCUUGCAGAUAGGUUAUCUGUUGCCUUCCUAUCUCACAGUUGAGGAAUCCAAAGCCCUGAAGAGACGCGGUGGUUCUCCUGUAUUUCCACUUGUUAUUUUGUCCCAUAGACUACACUAUUCACUUGUUUUCAUGAGUUUUCAAAAUUCAUGACCACCAAUAAUAAAGUUUUUUUAAUAUAAGAAAUUGUCAGGUGGGCAUGGAGGUGCACUCCUGUAAGCGCUUGGGAGGUUGAGGCAGGAAGACCACGAAUUCAAAGCCAGCCUGGGGUACGUAGUGAACUCAAGACCAGCAUGGGGAGACUCUGUAUCACACACACAAAAAAGAAUGUGUCUGACCUGAGAUCAAAGGUGAUUGAUUGAUUACAUUUAAAUUUUCUGUAUUCCCAGAUUGUUCCAAGAAGAGACAAUUUUAUUUUUUUCAAUACAAGUUUGCUAGAUAUGACUAGAUGCUUCAGAAGUUAAGAAGUAAAUAUUGAAAUCUUGUUUGUCAAUUUUAGACUUUAUUCAGCUAUAAUUCACGUACCAUAAACACCAUCUUGAAGUGUCUAAUUCAUUGGCUUUUAGUACAUGCACAUUUUGUGCAUACUUUUCCAGAACAUUUUCAUCUUUGCUUCUCAUAAACCCACUCCUAUUAGCAGUCAUUUAUCAGAUUUCAUUGCCCCUUGUUCCUGGAAUCACUACUCAACUCUGUAAGGAUUUGCUUAUCCUGAAUAUUUGCUAUUAAUGGAAUUACACAGUAUGCAGAUUUUGUGUAUGACUCUUUCACUCAGAAUGUUCUCAACACGUACCCACGUUCUAGCAUGUAUCAGUGCUUGGUGCUUUGGGUGGUCAUAAAGCAUCCUUAUCACUCAGUAUCCUUCGGGCAUUAGUUCCAAGAUCACCCUUGUUUGGAUCCCCAGAUCUGGAUUCCAACUCUGGAUUCAGUUCCUUAUAUAAAAUGGCAUAGCAUUUGUAUGCACCUAAGUACCUCAUGUAUACCUUAAAGUGUCUCGAGAUUACUUAUAUUACCUACUACAGUGUACAUGGUGUAUAAAUAGUGGUUAUACUAAAUAAUAGUGUGAGGUUGCAAUCCAGAUUCAUCAUUAGGCAAUAACAAGAAGGAAAUCUGUACAUGUGUAGCACAGAUACAAUUUUUUCCAAAUAUUUUUGAUCCUUAGUUGUUAGAAUCCAGGGACAUGGCAUGUGGAUGGUAUUUGACUGUAUGGAUAAACAACAUUUUGCUUAGUUAUCCUCAGGUUAAUGGACAUUUCAGUUAUUUCUACUUUUUUUGCUGUUGUGAAUAAUAGUGCUAUAAACACUUAUGUACAGGUGUUUAGAACAUACACUUUUAAUUCUCUUGUUGAUGCCUAAUAGUGGAAUUACUACAUCACAUGGUAAGUCUAUAUUAACAUUUUAGAAGCUGCCAGUUUAUUUCCACAGUGACUAUACCAUUAUAUUUCUACCAGAAAUGCAUCUUCUCCAAUAUUUAUAUCUUCUGAUAAUAAAAUAGGCAUCUUAAUGGAGUUAAAAAUGUAGAUCCUUGUGGAAUUCAUAUACAUUUCCAUAAUGACUAAUAACUUUGAGCCUUCUUACAUGUGUCGAUUGAUCAUUUGCAUAUUUUCUUGAGAGAAAUAUCUAUUUGAGUUCUUUGCCCAUGCUUAAAAUUGGAAUUUCUUAUUGAUCAUCUGCAAAAUUUCUUAUACAUCCUGGAUACAUGUCCCUGAGGCAUAUAAAUACUUUCAUUGGUUGCUUGGGCUGUGUUUUCACAUUCUUUAUGAUAAACUUUGAGAUAUAAAGGUUUUGAACUUAGAUGAAGUCCAACUUACUGAGUUAUUUUAUUUUGGCACUUGUUCUUUUAGCAUUAUAUCUUAAGAAUCCAUUUCCUAAUCCAAAGUCACAAAGAUUUACUCUUAUCUUUUCUUGAAGGAGUUCUACAGUUUUAAUUCUUACAGGCAGCUCUAUUAUCCCUUUACAGUGAUUUUUAUACAUAUGGUGAUAGAUCGGGGUUCAGACUCCUUUUUUCUACAUAGAGUCAUUCAAUUGUUUUGAUGUUAUUUGUUGAGCCCAUUUUUUCUUCUCCAUUGAAUGAUCUUGCAUUUACAUUAAAAAUCAGUUCAAGGGCUGGGCAGAAUAAAACGAAUUAAGAUGUGCUUUAUUCAUGCCCCAAUUUCCCACCAUGAAAAUUUUCAUUAUGUAUUGUAAACGUGUACUAAUAACAAUAUAAAUUAGAGAAAAUAGAAAAAAAUAAUUAAGCAUAGUGUUAAUGACAUAUUUUUGCACUUAAUUUUCUUCUAGCCAUCUACAUGUCUAUCUUAUGUUACUACCACAUUGUCUUGAUGACUGAAGCUUUGUAUUAAGUUUUCAUAUCAGGAAGCAUGAGUCCUUAUACUUGUGUUUGAGGUUGUUUUGUAUGUUUCGAGUCCUUCACAUUUCCACGUGAAUGUUAGGAUCAAGUUUUCAAUUUUUGCAAAAUUAUAUUUUAAAAAGUUAGCUUGGAAUUUUCAAUAUUAACUGAGGAGUAGUUAAUAAUAAUAAGCCUGCCAUGAUAAAGUAGUGCAUGCCUAUGCUCGCAGCACUUGGGGAAUGGUGGUGGUGGCUGAGGCAGAAGGAUGACCUUGAGUUUGAAGUCAGCCUGGGCUACAUAGUGAGUUCAAGGCCAGCCUGGGUUACGAAGGAAGUCCUUGUCUCAAAAGCCUCAAAAUAAUAAUAAUAAUAAUAAUAAUAAUAAUAAUGCCUAGGUAUCAGAAACAGAAACCUCAGCCCUUAAUCUUAAAAGAAUCAAUAAUCCAGGAGUUACACAAACACGUCAGUCAUGUUUGCUGUCUGUGGACUUCACACCGCUCUUCAGUACACAUUCAGUUGCGGCAGUGCUGUCUGAAGCACCUCUCUCCCAGCCACGGGGUCGGGCCCUCUUGGACCGCCUGUUGGGAGGCUGUGGGCUGCUGUUUCCUGCUGCUACCGCUGCACAGUUGUGAGCUGGAGUGAGACAGAUGUGAGGACAGCCGCACGCCAGAGCCCGUACUUCCUGCAUUUGCGGGCUGCACUCAGACACAGAUCUCUCUUGGAGCCCCAUGGCCUUCCAGUCUCCUGGGCCCUGGUCACUCAGGAGGCCCUGUACCCGUAGGGUGCUCCCCGUCCACCCAGAGACCCCAGACCAACCCUGAGCAAGCACAGCAGUGAAGCUUCUUGUUUCUCCUCCGGGCUGAAGUAGGCCUUCUCCACGGAGACCCACACCCCACCUGGAGGAGGGAGCCCCCCUCAGCUUUGCUCUUUCUUGGCUAUUCUCCUUUAGCUAUAGUUUUCCUAAACUUGAUUCUGUAUAUUUGUCAGAAUUUGAAGUUUUUAUGAUACUUCUUUCAUUAACCCACUGUGAUUGGACACACACUGAUACAAACAGCAGUUAUGAGUGAGAAUAUGAUAAGUAGUUGUUGUAGUCAGGGGUUACAAGGAGAACAAUUAUACACAGGACACAGAAUUUAUAGUGUUAUUUUACGAUGGUCACCCAGAGUUAAAAACAAAAAAGUACAGGAAAUCUGUCCACGACACUGAAGACCUAGAAAGUUCAAUGGAGGGCCUGGAUCCCACAGCAAUGUCCUGCAUGGGUCCAGCUGAAGACCUAGAGACCAUGACAAUGCUUCCCACGAAUCCAGCUGGAGGCCUAGAGCUCACAACAAGGACUCAUGCAAGUCCGUUUUAUGCAUCCAUGUGGGAAGGCCCAAACGUCAGCAGUGGAAGUUAGAAUGUUUAUGCCAGCUGAGUGAAGGAUCUGUGCCAGUAGGUUAAGGGUUCUACAUUGGAGCCAGAAAGUGACACUCCAAAUAAGGAACAGGACUCCCCUGAAAAAUAUCACAGUUGUCCUUAGCAACAAUCAGAUCCUGAGCUCCUCUGCAUGAGAACAGUCAAGUACCUAUCAGGAAGGCAGCAUGACAACUUCUGAAGAGUAAACAGCAAACAUCUUCCCCUCCAGAGCCAGAAAGUGAUGUUCAACAUAAGGACAAGAGCUACCCUAAAGGGAACCCCAGCCUUUCUUGCAUCAGGGUCCCGAGCUCCUCCAAUGAGAAUGGCCAAAUCCAUAUCCAGGAAGCCAGCAUGACAAGCUCCUCCGAGGAACCAACAGCUCCAAACAGCAACACUUAGUGUUAUCUGCAACACGUCUUCCUCUCCAUGGCCCCUUCUAUGCUGGCAACUUUCUUCGGGUGGGCCAUCUAUACUCAGCACCAUGCUGAUUUAAUUCAGCGGGUGUUAAGCUGACCACCAGUUUUUAAUCCACAUCAGUAGUGUCCCUAUCUCUCUCUGUCUCUCUUCUGAAGUACUGGGUGUUGAACCAAGGCCUUCACAUUGAGCUGUACCCCCAGUUCUUUUUUGUUUUGAGAUAGGGUCAUGUUAAAUCAGUAAGUUGCCUACCAUGGCUCAAACUUGUGAUCCUCCUGCUUCAGCCUCCCAUAGCACUGCGAUUACAGGCACAAGCCACCACACCAGCUCAGGAAGUAGUAUUUUAAGAGCUGACAGUGAGAUGAGGGUUUGGAGCCUGAGGUCCGUGGGCAGGAUCAGGAAAUUCUGACCUAACGAGGGAGUGUACUUUGGCACGACCCUGCAGCAGACAAGGGUUAUCUCUAAACUUGGCACCAGGGAGUUUAUAUUUCUAAGACAGUUGCUUCAGAUCUGACUGUGAAUGGAGCUGUACUAUUUUUCCAAACCACUGCCAUUUCCUCCUAACUGAAGAGUCAUUUGGGGUUUGCUGCCCAAAAGGGUAGGAGAGACAACUGGGCCAGGCAGUUCCUGACCCCAAAGGAGACUUUUAUAUUGCAUCAUCUCCUUGGAAUUUCUUCACCAAAUGUUUCAAAGAAAGGCUUUGAUGGUUCAAAAUGAACACCCACAGCCAUAUGUACCGAUUAAUUCCCUCGCCAAAUGUUUUCAUACUGUAAGGCGGCUGUGGCUCUGUGCUGGAAGGACUCCCGUCCUUUGAGGCACCCUCACGCUUGUAUCCCCCGGUGUGAAUGCUAAAUAUGCAACUUUUCAGUUCCCUUUUUGCUUGCCAAAGCCUCCUAAUUUCCCUUCACCUCUUCACAAAUAUCUAGUCAACAACUGUGAUUGUCGGGGCUUUUCAGGGCAUCACCCCUGCUUUUCAGAGCAGACUCAGCAUGAUUGGGAGCUGAUUAGAAAAUCGAAUUCAUGUUUCUCCUCUUGGACUUCCGGCCCACAGUUUCUAUAAUGUGAGGCCUGAACGUGUGUUCACGUGCUUUCUUGGUGAUUCCUGUCACCCUAACAUGUGCAAAACACUAAUGAUGAUCUUACCCAUUGCAUUUCACUUUAGACACCCUCUAGAUUUUAAAAAGGAUCUGAGAUCUUAAAAGGCAUCUGAUCCAUUCCAAAUAGGAAUGAGUGUCUCUAACAUCCUGGACAGACUGGCCCCUCAUGCUGCUUUAAUGUUUUAUGUUUUAAUAGAUGAGAAUUCACCACCUCACAAAUCAACUGGUUAUAACCAGGGGCAAUGCUAAUUACUGGAAAUGUUAUUUAUUAUGCCUUCAUCCAGAUUGACCUAAUUGCUCCCUUUAUUCAUUGUCUGUGGUCCUGUUCUUAAAAAGCAUGAAAUACAUCUUGUUUCACCUGCGUGUGGUGGUGCACACCUGGGAUCCCAGCACUAGGGAGGCUGAAGCAGGAGGAUCACCGUGAGUUGAAGCCAGCCUGGCCUAUACAGUGAGUUUAAGGGCAGCCUGAACUACAUAGCAAGAUCCUGUCUUAAAAACCAAAAUCAAUCAGUCAGUCAAUCUGGUUUCUUGAAUAUCUUUUGAGAAUUUGUAUUUUCAAGAGGGAACAUUCUUACUUUCUGUACUUUCCCCAUUUGAUGAUGAGUUUUUGGAUUAAAGGCUAUCAGAAUGGAUUUACACACCAAUAUUCUGCUCAAACCACCUCCAGAGGCAGUUACAAAGCACUCUGGGUGGUCCAGUGAAGGCAUCACGUGAAGUGGCCAACGAUUCUGUAUGUUAAAAAAUUGGAUUCCAAGCCUGAUUUGCCACAGUGCGCUUGGGCAGAGCACUUAGUUUCUCUGAGUUAAAGCUCGGAUUACUACUGUAUGUGGCACUAAAGCUGAGGAAAUGCUAAUAUCUUAAAGACAGAUGUAGCCAAUAGCACCUCCGAAAAGAAUUUAAACAGAGGUGUGUGUGGGGGGAGGCAGAGGAUGUGGAGAAAGUGUGGCGGUCUGUGGGCCCCUCUGUUGACAGGUGUGUCCUGCGGGGCUCCAGGGCCAGUGUCACUCACCUGAGUGCGUCCAGAGCUCCCGGCUCAGCUGCUUCUGGAGGUGGCAGUGUUCUGAUGAUGUCAAGAUUACAGGAGGACCAGGAGUCCAAAACUGGGGCGCCUGGGCCUGCAUGCAGAAGGCUGCUGGGCAGGAGAGGAGCUGGACACUGAUGUCUGUGUCUGCCUGGUCUGGGCAGGGUGCAGCCUGGCGCAGCUGGCUGAAGCACAGGACCACUAUGUGUUGGCAGAGUCAAGUGACACGGAAUGGUCGACACAAAAGCAAACAUGUAAAUAAGCCAAACCCAGGAGGAUGCUUCAGGUGCAGGAGAAAGUGGAACUUAAAACUGGUUAAGGAAAAGGGAUGUGUUUGUUACUCAUCUACAAAGCGAGAAGGGGAACCACUGGCCAGAAUGGCGUCACUGAGGCCUGACUCUGCUCCUUCUCUGGGAUCCGUGGCUUCCCGAGUUGAGUGUACCCAGUUUGCUUUCCCGAGGUCACCGGAGGCUCCUCACCCACUGCUUGGAAAGAGAGCUCUUGGCUUUCCUUGGCUUUGCCUAGGCUCAGCACUGUCAGAGGAUGUGUUCCUUGAGUCCCUGGCUGCUGAAGGCAGAGUGACCUCUCACCUCUGAGAGUGACCACUGCCCGCUCACUGUCCUGCACUGCCCCACAGAUGCCCAGAUAGCUGGAGGACAGCUUCACCCUUCUCUUCCCUGCCCAGAGGAGGAAGGGGCCAGGCUGGUGAGGGUCCCAGGAGCCCAGCUGUGGGUUUGCUCCUGCAAGGAGAUGGGAAGGACCUGCGUCUUUCAGAACCAUCUGCAGUGAAGUCCCAGCUGCCUGAGGACAGCAACACCUUCUGCUCCAGAGGCCUUCCUUGGGAGCAGAGAAGAAGUGAGCUUUGGAAGGUGUGGGCUGUGUGACAAGAUGACUCCAGUCUCUCCACGCCCCAAGGUCCUGCGUCGCCCUUGCCCGGCAGCCUGCAGAAGCCUCGUGGCUACACUGUUCCCCUGAGGGGCCGGGAGCUGGAGGAAGCAGAGUCUACAGGACUUGUGGAAACGAUUGUCAGAUUUUGAUGCCAAGAACAAAGUGACUUCACCAACUCCCGUGCAGCCUGCCUUCUGGGAGAGUGGGGAUAAGACAUAGCCUGUCUGAAGAGAAGGAGAAACACCAGGAGAAUCGGUUGGCCUUUCGUUUUUCUGAGUGCAGCGGAUCCUUCUCCCAGCUUUUCCUCUCCCAGGGAGCCUUCCCGGGACAUACACUAUUAGAGUUCUUACUAGGCAGCUUCUUUGUACUUCACUUUGCUGCCCACUUCAUGAGGGAAUGCAAACAAAGUCUCGGGAACCUCAAAUGUUGAAAAGGAAGGAAACUAAAAGAUCUGGUAUGUUUUCCGGUUCAGUUGGCUCACACCAGUGUCCUGGAACGAUUCUUCAAAGCUCUGCUUUCUGUGAUGGAAAACCUCACUUCCAGACACAGCCCUCACUGAGCUGCAAGUCGCAUUCCUGCCUUAGCCUCCCAAGUCCUGGAAUCACAGGCUUCAACAUCUGUGCCUAAAAAUCACUUUAAACCCUGAAGAAGCAGGGCACUGGGGUCAUCAUCCACAGUGCUCCCCCGCUCCCACUGACACCUUGGGACCCCCUUAGCCUCCCCAUGCUGUCCCGGACUUCGCUUGGGUUGCCUCUCUUCCCUGAAUCACAGUCCCAUCUUGGUGAAGCCACUUGUGGUCCCUCAGCUAAGGCUAACUGAGGAGAGAGGACUGAUGACAGUAUUAAAAUAUCCUUAAAAUGCAAGGAAAUACCAAGAUUUGGAGAAGAGUUCUUCCUUUGUGGUAACACUGUGGGAAGUGGCAGAAGCUGGUUGAUUGAUUGCACAUGCAGGGUUAAAGCAAAGCCAACCCUGAGAACAUGGAGAGCCCGAGGUGGGCCAAGUGAACAAGCUGUUCAUGCUCCAAGAACAGGAGGUGCUCAGGCAAGCCAUACAAAAUUGCAAAUCAGAGGGGCUGAAUGACAUUAACCUGGGUGUAUAAAUAAAUGCACUGCACUGCCAUGAGCUGUUCCUGUCCUCCCAUCCGGAGGAGGGCUCCAUCAGAUCCCAGCUUUCUAUGUCUUGUGUCUAUUUCUUUACCUUCUCUCUGCCCUUCAUAGCCCUCGCCCUGGGAAGGUUGAGAGCUGUGCGGGUCACAGCGUAACACACAUCUUUGACCCAUUCACCAUGGCCAGAAGGUGGGUCAUCUGCUGUUGUAAACCCAAAAAUCGAGUUCAGUCAUCCAAGUAUUGUAAUCCUCUUUCUAGUCUUCGUCUCAAUCCAAAAAGUUAUAUUUGUAAUCCCAUUGAGACGUUACUGGAAUUCCAGUCAGUCAAUUCCAAUCUACCACCACUAACCCAACCCACGGCGAGAGUAAAAACACAAAGACAUAUUCCAAGUUAAGGGCAGCCAAGGGGACCCAAGUCCAUUUCCCGUGAGGACAUGUGGACAAAGUCCACAGUCCUAGACCUCUCCCAGCAUUUAUUCUCUUGUGAAGAGAAGGGAGGGGUCGCUCAGGGCUGAGUGAUAGUCAGGAUGUGGGGGAUUGCUGAGUAACCUGAGCUGGCUGGCCAGGUACAAGGAAGGCAUCUCUGUAAUUUGCAGAGAUAAAGACAUGCAGAAGGAUCAAUUUACACAACCUGAUUAAGGUAGCAGGGGAAAUGUUUUGGGGGGCUGUUGCUUCAGUUUUGAUAUGCAAACUCUUGUGCCCUGGGGAGUCAUAGCCUCUUAUCUUGAGGCUCCUUCCCAGUUGAUGUUCCUGGAGUCUGCUCUGUGUCUCACCAGCUCAAUUCUGUAAUGUGGAGAGCACCAUGUGAGGAAACGGGCUGUCUGAUGGCCAGACUUUGCAUAUUAACACCUUGGCUGGCCUUAUUUGCAAUGCUUAGAGCCAAUUGAAGAGAGAAGGCAAUACCCUAACCAGCCUUUCACAUAUCAGUAUAAGGAAAUGAGUCUCCAAAUAUUCAAAGUAUUGUUUUUGGAUUCAAAAGGAGACUGGAGUUGUGUACCACAAUCUGCUCCAUCUGUGGAGUAAAGUUUAGGGUCCCAAAGAUCCACUUGCAGUCGUGCAUGAACAUGAAGACCAUCCAAAGAUCAAAGCAACAGAAAGAGGAUUCUGAUCAACCUCCAGGCAGGGCCAACCUGUCCUCUCUGCAUAUGUCCCCAGUGCAUAGCCUCCAUGAAAGGACAAAGUGGCACAGGAUUCUCACCUUGCCAGGCCUAAUGCUGAGUGAAUCCUGUUCAUUAAUCACAGCUCCUGAGAUGACCUAGUACUGACCACCAUCCCAUAGUGCUAAUCAAGUUAAAAUAAGAAUGCCUGACUACAAUAUAGCAAAAGCUACAGGUAUGAUCAAAAGAGCGUGUAAGUUUAAGUAAAAUAAUCAUGGUAUAAGACACAUUGCCAUUAAUCCCCCUCAAAACACUACCAUUCAAUUUGAACACACCCCCACCUUCUUACAACUUUCUGAGGCAUUUCUGAAGUUCUCUUUCAUGAGUGUCUUUACAAGAGAUGAUAAAAAUACAUGUGAAUGGCUCUGCUGAGUGCCAUCAACAGAAAGGAGGCUCAUAAAAACAUCACCAUGUGUCCUCAGCCACCUCGUUUAUCAGACCUGACACCAUGUGACUGGUUCUUCUGUAGUCAAGAUGACCAUAAGAGGUAAGUAUUUCAAUCAGUUUAGUACAUUGAAGCAGCCACAUCACACAACUAAAGACACUCAUUAAAGAGGACUCUGCUCCAGAAAGUGGCAGGGAACAUGGAUGAGGGUGUCCCAAGUGAUGGGGGCGUUCUGAGGGGUGCUAAGGGAAAUGUGUGUUUUACUGUAACAACUUUUAAAAAUGUAAACAUUCACCAUGUAUUUCAAUUGCACCACAUAUAAAAGGUCCAUACCUUUGAGACAGAAAUUUCCCUUCUAGAAGUUUACCUUAAGGAUGUGAAGAGACGUCCUGUGUGGUGUCUUCCUCUCUGCCUCCUCCUGUGUCAGUGGAAUGACGAGGAGGGAAAGCCAGUGGGCAGAAGGAAGAGUGAAUUGAGGGCCAUUGGAGAUCAGGUUGAAUUUAGCUUGUGACAGAUCCUUUCUGAUGUGGACAAAGAGCAAUGCUAGACAGUUAUUCCACGGAGAUAGCUCAAAGCCUCUGGCCAACUUGCAAACAAGACCAACCUCUCCACAGGCCACCACAAGAAAAAGACAGUAGAAAAGAAAGUCACAGAGGUAAAGGAGACUCUCGACCUGGGGUGGGCCAGAGGGCAGGAGGCCCCUGUCUCUGCCCAGCCUCUGCUGCUGAAGACGGCUCUCUCUGGGGAGUGGAGGGACCUGCGACAAAGCACUCAGGGGACAGAUGGGGCUGGAGGAGUCCAGCUGGGAUCCUACAGAUAGAAGUUCUCCUCAACAGAACAGGACGCCCAGGACCAAAAGAGAAACGAGCUCAGGUUGUCAGGCAAAUGGCCCAGUUGGGCUGGGUGUGUGACAUCCACCGGUGUCUCUGGAGCUUUGGAGACACUGGCCAUGUGUCUUUUAUAGCUUGUUUACUGUUAAUUAUGAAUUGUAAAUUCACUCUCUUUGUUUCUGUCUUCCUGCCCUUUCUCUCUUUCUCUCUAGGUCCUGGGGAACGAGCCUAGGGCCUUCGCACUGAUCUACAUCCCCCAGCCUCCUUGAAAACUUUUAAAAAAUUUUGAAACAGGGUCUCACUAAAUUUCCCAGGCUAGACUUGAACUCGUGAUUCUCCAGCCUCAGUCUUCCUGAGUGCUAGGAUUGUAGGCAGUGCUCCAGCAAGCCGGCUCUAUUAUCUACAAUUCUGGUAUAUACUGAACAGGCCAGACGAACUGCUGAAUAAAAACUUCAGAACUUCUGCAGCUUA